rnacentral:tRNA from 2 species
CGCGGGAUGGAGCAGAGGCAGCUCGUCGGGCUCAUAACCCGAAGGUCGUGGGUUCGAAUCCCACUCCCGCUACCA